CUUCACCGAGCCGAGCAGCAGCGGAUUGUCCUCGGGGCGGUCCUUGCCGUACGUGGCGAGCAGUGCCUGGGCCUC
rnacentral:antisense_RNA from 1 species